ACUCAUUCUUGGCAGGGGAGGUACCAUUGUUAUAAGAGUGGUUUUCCUAGGGUAAAGGUCCUCUAUUGCAUUCUGGAUGUGCUGACUCCUAUGAUUUUCCCAGAUGUGGGAAAAUCAACUGUCUAAAUGGGGGACUGUGUUUGUGGUUUCCCCUG
rnacentral:snRNA from 1 species